rnacentral:rRNA from 1 species
UGCAGUCGAACGAUGAAACCGCUUCGGUGGUGGAUUAGUGGCGAACGGGUGAGUAACACGUGGGCAAUCUGCCCUUCACUCUGGGACAAGCCCUGGAAACGGGGUCUAAUACCGGAUAACACUCCUGCCUGCAUGGGUGGGGGUUGAAAGCUCCGGCGGUGAAGGAUGAGCCCGCGGCCUAUCAGCUUGUUGGUGGGGUAAUGGCCUACCAAGGCGACGACGGGUAGCCGGCCUGAGAGGGCGACCGGCCACACUGGGACUGAGACACGGCCCAGACUCCUACGGGAGGCAGCAGUGGGGAAUAUUGCACAAUGGGCGAAAGCCUGAUGCAGCGACGCCGCGUGAGGGAUGACGGCCUUCGGGUUGUAAACCUCUUUCAGCAGGGAAGAAGCGCAAGUGACGGUACCUGCAGAAGAAGCGCCGGCUAACUACGUGCCAGCAGCCGCGGUAAUACGUAGGGCGCAAGCGUUGUCCGGAAUUAUUGGGCGUAAAGAGCUCGUAGGCGGCUUGUCACGUCGGAUGUGAAAGCCCGGGGCUUAACCCCGGGUCUGCAUUCGAUACGGGCUAGCUAGAGUGUGGUAGGGGAGAUCGGAAUUCCUGGUGUAGCGGUGAAAUGCGCAGAUAUCAGGAGGAACACCGGUGGCGAAGGCGGAUCUCUGGGCCAUUACUGACGCUGAGGAGCGAAAGCGUGGGGAGCGAACAGGAUUAGAUACCCUGGUAGUCCACGCCGUAAACGUUGGGAACUAGGUGUUGGCGACAUUCCACGUC